rnacentral:rRNA from 1 species
GCAUAUCAAUAAGCGAGAGAAAAGAAACUAACAAGGAUUCCCUUAGUAGCGGCGAGCGAAGCGGGAUGAGCUCAAAUUUGAAAGCUGGCGUCCUUCGGGCGUCCGCAUUGUAAUCUAUAGAGGCGUUUUCUGUGCUGGACCGUGUCCAAGUCCCUUGGAACAGGGUAUCAAAGAGGGUGACAAUCCCGUACUUGACACGACAACCAGUGCUCUGUGAUACGUCUUCUACGAGUCGAGUUGUUUGGGAAUGCAGCUCAAAAUGGGUGGUGAAUUCCAUCUAAAGCUAAAUAUUGGCGAGAGACCGAUAGCGAACAAGUACCGUGAGGGAAAGAUGAAAAGCACUUUGGAAAGAGAGUUAAACAGUAUGUGAAAUUGUUGAAAGGGAAACGAUGGAGGUCAGUCGUGUCUGUGGGAUUCAGCCGUCUCUGGCGGUGUACUUCCCACAGACGGGUCAACAUCAGUUUUGGUCGGCGGAUAAAGGCAGGAGGAAGGUGGCACCCCCGGGUGUGUUAUAGCCUCUUGUUGCAUACGCUGGCCGAGACUGAGGAAUGCAGCUCGCCUUUAUGGCCGGGGUUCGCCCACGUUCGAGCUUAGGAUGUUGACAUAAUGGCCUUCAACGACCCGUCUUGAAACACGGACC